rnacentral:rRNA from 1 species
UACGUAGGGACCGAGCGUUGUCCGGAUUCAUUGGGCGUAAAGAGCUCGUAGGCGGCUGCUCAAGUCGAAUGUGAAAACUCGAGGCUCAACCUCGAGCCUGCAUUCGAUACUGGGCGGCUAGAGUCUGGUAGGGGGAUCUGGAAUUCCUGGUGUAGCGGUGGAAUGCGCAGAUAUCAGGAGGAACACCGGUGGCGAAGGCGGGAUCCUGGGCCAGUACUGACGCUGAGCCGCGAAAGCAUGGGGAGCGAACAGG